GGAAAACAAGAAGCAUUCACUCUAUCACAACAGCUCUCUGACCACUCUUUCCUUAAAUACCUUCCCAGAUUCCUCUUUGGGGUUUCUGGGUGGGCUGGGGCUCCAGCCAAGGAACCUGGAACCUGCACUCCCUCCCCUCUGUCUAAGUGGCUCCUCCCUUCAUCCUCACUCAAUCCAGACUUACCUGUCAUUAUACAAAACCUUUUGUUUUAGGAAAUUCACACUGAAAUCACUAUUUAGAGUUUGUAUUUCAGGAACAAAGGAGAAAGUCCAGGCCACUGACUGGAAAGGACGUGAUGGGAAUAGGUCUAAGGAAACCUGCCAGUUUUAGAAGGAAAGAGAUCAUUCUCCCAAGGAAUCCAAUUCUUCAUAAGGGUGCUCCAUCAGACUACUCAGCAGGAAACAGGCCAAUUCCCCUGCACUGUCAGGAGGCCAGGCCUACUGGGUGGUCUAAAUUUAAGAAAAAAGAGAAAAACAAAAAUCCUAAGAACUAGAGACAGACAGACAGACAACUCUAAGAAGGGAUCAUAUCAGAAGUGAUACCCAAGACAGGUACUGGCAACUUAGAUUCUAGUCCAGGGAAAAUGGGCAGAAUUGAAAGAUUUCCUGGGGCCAAGUACACCUCAAGUUUCAACUUUAUUAAUAAUUUGAGAUUUCCAUAUAGUAUAUGACUACUGAUAUAAUACUGUUUCCAUCUGAGAAAAACAAACAAAUUGAACUGCUAAAUAAGCAAAGAGGAAAUUCAAAAUAAAAAAAACUGGGCCCCAAGACCUUGAACAGUGUUUACAGAACCAUCCACAAGAGCAUGCUCAGCUCCCAGAGCCCUAACCUCAGAGAGUGUAACUGACUUUUUAUUCUACUCCAGAAAGGCUCCAAGACUGCACCUCUCCCUUUCUGUUUAUUCCCCCCCCCAUUCUCAACAAAGAAGCUCAAAGGUGUUGAAUGCCAGUGAAGGGGGAUGAAUGCAGAUUCUUUUGACAUCAGCUUUUUGUCUCAAGGCAGACCAGGGGGAACAGUGUGGGAUUAGGGUAGGCAACUUUCCCAGAAGCCACUACAAAAAGCAGGCACUCUGCAAGUCACUGUAUGCUAGAUAGUCUAGAAGUCCUGCCAGGGAAGAGGUCAUACAAUCAGACAAGUGCAUUGCUGAUAGUAAGAGAAGGAUGACUCCUAAAAGACUGGCCAGAAGUCCAAGUUCCAAGCCCCAAGCUAGAGAGUCAAGAAGGAAAUGAAAAUGAUGUACAUGGAUUUUUUUCAAACAAACUCUUCCUCCUGGAGGGCCUAAUACAUUCUCUGCUCUUCCCUUCAGCAGUCCUGAAUCCACUGAGAAGUCAAGCUGAAGAAGCAGCUGAGAAAGGAAACCACCUGAACAGAACUGAGCCAUACAAUUCAACAGAACUGAGCCAUACAAUUCCAGAGUGGAUCUUCCCUCUGAAAAUAGUGGGGGGCUUUCUUGAAUCUCUAACCAGGUAAACCUCCACAGGAAGUUCAGACUGGUUUUCUGCUUUCUUUCCUCCUUACCCUUACUACCACCCCUAUGUUACUCUACCUUCACCUUCCUUCCUCUUUACCUCAGCCAAGGUCAUGAGAGGGAGAUACCUUAGUAAAGGGAAGACCAAGUCUCUGGGGCUCAGAUGAUUAAAAGAAGAUUUAAAAUGAUAUAUAGUUUCCAUAUUAUGAAAGCACUAUUAACAUGAAGAAAUUUUUAUGAGAUGAACAGUCCAGAGACACAAACCCCCUAAGUAGAGGAGAGGAAGUAACACCUAACAUUAAGGGCUGUCUUCUCUUUGCAGCACUAAAAGAGCUGAUAUAAGCACAAGAGAAUAGAAACCUGGGCUGCUAUUAAGGAAGCACAUUUCUCUCGAUGAGACACUGAAGUCAGCAAGGCCUAGGGUCUCAGCCCAUCUAUGCACAACUACAGAGCCCAAAUACAUUGGUUCUUCUCUCCAGACAGCAGCCUGCAUGACUCAGACACAGAUUUCAGGAUAAAUUGGGCUUUCUGUCUGUGGUUACAAAAAAAAAAAGGAGACAAAUGUGUUUUAGUCUUAUCAUUGAAAAAGCAAAUACCAGAUACAUCUAGUAUCCCAGAUUUUUAAAAAAGGAUAAUUCUAGUCUAAAACUAAAGAGUUACUAUAGCAAAAAGUGCAAUAUAAAACCUCAAUAUUCAAUAAAGUCAAAUAAAUAAGAGGAAUUAAUUCCUUAGGACACAAUGGAGUAUGUUAAUCUUAAAAGUCUAUCAGACUGACUGAGAUGACUAUCAAUACAGAAAAAUGUUCACAAAUAAUCCUAAGUGAAAAACAGGAUACAGAAUGUAAUACACCAAAUAAAAUACAAAACUAUACCUAGUAUAGAAAGAGUAACAUGAUUUAAUAUUACCAUAAAUUUUAAAAGUUGGAAUACAAUAAUUUUUAAAUGAAUAAAUCAAGUCAGUCUAGCAUUCUCUGGCUGCCUCCAAUUACCAAAGUGUCUGUCAUCAUCUCUAUGCCUCUAGUCAUCUGCAGUCUGCAUUAUUCUUCUCAAGAAGCAAAGCAGCCUCAACUUAAGAUGCUUUGUUAACUGCUUAUUAACCAUUAUAAAUCAAAAGUCGACCAAGUAACACUCAAUCUGUUGGUCAAAUAGAUUUCUCAGAAAAUUUCAACAACUAGAAUAGGUGUUUGAGAAGAUUUAAAUGCCCUAUAAAAGGGCAAAUUAAUUUCUCUGCCUCAUUGAAUUUGUUAUGCCAGAAAUCUAAUUCCAUCUUCCAAUGUAAGUGAUAAAGAAAGGCAAUGUGAACUCUGGACAGCCCACUUGAGUUUGAAACCUAACUCUUACCACUUAUUAGGUAUGUGGAAGUGGGCAAGUUAUGUACUUUUUUAUUUAUUUGCCCUUAAUCUUUUGAUCUGUAAAAUGAGAAAAACAACCCACAUAAAGUUAGUUCGAGAAUUAAAUGACAUUUCUUAGAAAAUGCUUAGAACAGGGUCUAGAAUAUUGUAAAUGCUCAAACAUUAAUUACUGUUAUUUAUCACUAUUUCUUUUAUUUUUAACACAAUAUCUGUUCCCUGUACCCCCAGUCCAGUAAUCUUUUUUCAAAGUAUAAUUAACCAGAAUGAAUGGAAGACUGUACUCUCGAAACAUUAUUAAUCAAUAACAGCAUUAGUUACAUUGAGAAUAUAAAUCAAAACACAGCAUUGUAAUUCUAAGACAAUACACAAAAUUUAACAAGUAUUAACACUUAAUUGUAAUUUGUGCUGAACUGAAUAAAGAUCCACCUUGAUGGCAUAAUAAAACAAAAUUGUUUUUGUACUAUUAAACUAUUUCUUUAAGUUUGAGUAGAGGGAAACAUCUAUAAAUGCUUUGCUCAAAAUACUAUUAGAUCAUAAAUAUUCUCUUCAAAUCCUAAGAUUUGCAACUAUGCACUCAAUGUUACUUUAGAAACAAUAUGCAUAUUUAUGGAAAGUAAAACUUGCC
rnacentral:lncRNA from 1 species